rnacentral:rRNA from 1 species
UACGUAGGGCGCAAGCAUUAAUCGGAUUUACUGGGCGUAAAGGGUGCGUAGGCGGGGAAGAAAGUUAGAUGUGAAAUUUCAGGGCUCAACUCUGAAACGGCAUCUAAUACUACUUUUCUUGAGGAUAGGAGGGGAAAGGGGAAUUCCACAUGUAGCGGUGAAAUGCGUAGAUAUGUGGAGGAACACCGGUGGCGAAGGCGCCUUUCUGGCCUAUUCCUGACGCUGAUGCACGAAAGCAAGGGGAGCAAACAGG